rnacentral:lncRNA from 1 species
GAGGAAUGAGCGCUACUAUUCGCAGCAAGGUCUUGCCAAACUCCGAGAGCAGCAGAGCGGCACCGGAGGCGGCCAGAGUUCGGGUUACCGCGGCCGCGUCGUGCUUGACAGGGACCGCGCGGGUCGACAGUGCGCGAGGACCAGAGUUCGGGUGGUCUGAAUAGAUGGUUCCCCA